UAAAGCAGAUGUACAAUGUAUGUUUGAUAGGCCAUAAGUCAGGCUUCUUUAGUUCAAGCCAAAUUGGUUUUAAACCAGAAUAACAACUACCCCAUAUACCUCAAUAAGUGACAAUUUCUUAUCAAU